rnacentral:rRNA from 1 species
CAGUCGCCGCGGUAAUACGUAGGUGGCAAGCGUUGUCUGGAAUUAUUGGGCGUAAAGGGCUCGCAGGCGGUUUCUUAAGUCUGAUGUGAAAGCCCCCGGCUCAACCGGGGAGGGUCAUUGGAAACUGGGAAACUUGAGUGCAAAAGAGGAGAGUGGAAUUCCACGUGUAGCGGUGAAAUGCGUAGAGAUGUGGAGGAACACCAGUGGCGAAGGCGACUCUCUGGUCUGUAACUGACGCUGAGGAGCGAAAGCGUGGGGAGCAAACAGGAUUAGAUACCCCUGUAGUCCCUGUCUCUUAUAA